UGAAGUGAUCACCAACUCUACAGAGCUUCGUCACAUUUAAGAAGGACUCAUCAGGAUGAAAGUUUCUUUAAAGUUUUUCCCAAGUUUCCUUGUUUUUUCCUUGCUUCUGGUUUCAUUUUGUUGCGUUGAAGGGCAAAAGAAAGACAGCAAUGGAGCGCAAUUCAAGCGUAACAACGAACGCAUUCCACGGCAAUGCAUGCGGAUAAUCUGGGCAAGGCAUAGAAAAGCUAAAUGCUCUUCUGUGAAGAGAAGGCUAAGAAAAUUACAAGCAGUGAUGAACAAGCCUCCUAUUGAAGAUUCACACGGAGGAGGAGGAGGAGAAUUCCAAAGAGCGGGAGCACUGCUUAAACAAGCGAAGAGAAGGAGAGCAGGAAUAAAUAAUAUGUAAUGUUUGUAUAAAACAAACAGAGAGGAUCGAUUAUAAUGAGAGUUGGAAAAAUUUGGGAAUCAGAAAUUACUUGAAUAUGAAAGCAAACUCAAGUUUGUUAUUUGAGUAACAUGAAAUCUAACGUAUAAAACUUAACAAAAUUGAUUAUGAAUCAAUGUUGAUGUCCAAUAAACUUCUUCAAAUUCG